rnacentral:rRNA from 1 species
AACGAACGCUGGCGGCAUGCCUAACACAUGCCAGUCGAACGAGACCUUCGGGUCUAGUGGCGCACGGGUGCGUAACGCGUGGGAACCUGCCCUUAGGUUCGGAAUAACUCCCCGAAAGGGGUGCUAAUACCGGAUAAUGUCUUCGGACCAAAGAUUUAUCGCCUUUGGAUGGGCCCGCGUUGGAUUAGCUAGUUGGUAGGGUAAAAGCCUACCAAGGCGACGAUCCAUAGCUGGUCUGAGAGGAUGAUCAGCCACACUGGGACUGAGACACGGCCCAGACUCCUGCGGGAGGCAGCAGUGGGGAAUAUUGGACAAUGGGCGAGAGCCUGAUCCAGCAAUGCCGCGUGAGUGAUGAAGGCCUUAGGGUUGUAAAGCCCUUUUACCCGGGAUGAUAAUGACAGUACCGGGAGAAUAAGCUCCGGCUAACUCCGU